rnacentral:rRNA from 1 species
AUUGAACGCUGGCGGCAGGCCUAACACAUGCAAGUCGAACGAGUGGCGGACGGGUGAGUAAUGUCUGGGAAACUGCCUGAUGGAGGGGGCUAACUACUGGAAACGGUAGCUAAUACCGCAUACCAUCAGAUGUGCCCAGAUGGUAUUAGCUAGUUGGUGGGGUAACGGCUCACCAAGGCGACGAGCCCUAGCUGGUCUGAGAGGAUGACCAGCCACACUGGAACUGAGACACGGUCCAGACUCCAACGGGAGGCAGCGGUGGGGAAUAAUGCACAAUGGGCGCAAGCCUGAUGCAGCCGUGCCGCGUGUAUGAAGAAGGCCUUCGGGUUGUAAAGUACUUUCAGCGGGGAGGCGUUACCCGCAGAAGAAGCACCGGCUGACUCCGUGCCAGCGGCCGCGGUAAUAC